GGACGAGGCGGCGGCCGCGGGGAGGAGGAUGGGGGCUAACCAGUUAGUGGUGCUCAACGUGUACGACAUGGCAACCUCGUUAAAAUAUGAAUGAGGCUAACAUUUCUCAAGAAAAUAGCCCAGCUGAAUUAUUUAGAGAUCCUGGUGGUGCUCCUUUCCUACACUCUGAAGACCACUUUCCAGGUGAUGCAACAGAUUGGGCUGCUGCGGAUCAUUUCUUUUCUUCCAUAACUCUGCCGUAUGCAUGAAAAUAAUUCUAUUGGGGGUCACCAGUAUUAACUUCCUUCUCAUGGAAGAAGAGUGUGAUCCUCAGAAGGUUACUUAAUUAUGCAUAGUGUUCCUAUUGCUUGCUGCCUUAUCAGUGAUUAUGUUCCUCUGUGUACUUUGGAGUAAUCUACCACCAAUAAAAACGUCCUGGAGC
rnacentral:lncRNA from 1 species